rnacentral:rRNA from 1 species
CCUACGGGAGGCAGCAGUGAGGAAUAUUGGUCAAUGGACGGAAGUCUGAACCAGCCAUGCCGCGUGCAGGAAGACGGCUCUAUGAGUUGUAAACUGCUUUUGUACAAGGGUAAACCUGAAUACGUGUAUUCAUCUGAAAGUACUUUACGAAUAAGGAUCGGCUAACUCCGUGCCAGCAGCCGCGGUAAUACGGAGGAUCCAAGCGUUAUCCGGAUUUAUUGGGUUUAAAGGGUGCGCAGGCGGGCCUUUAAGCCGGCGGUGAAAUCGCGGGGCUCAACCCCGCCGAGCCGUCGGAACUGGGGGCCUUGAGUGCGGCGGAGGCAUGCGGAAUGCGUGGUGUAGCGGUGAAAUGCAUAGAUAUCGCGCAGAACCCCGAUGGCGAAGGCAGCGUGCCGUGCCGCCACUGACGCUGAGGCACGAAAGCGCGGGGAUCGAACAGGAUUAGAUACCCCAGUAGUC